UCAUGCACCACAGACGUAGGCUAGUCUACGAAGCUACCACGGAGCAAGGCAGAAGGCAACAAGAAGAAUGGCUAACGUUAUGGAUGAGACAGAGGGAGUUAGCGAUGUCGACAUGACUGAGAAUAGAGACAUUCCUGAUCACCCAUGGUCAUAUAUGAGGGAGAUGUUCGAAAUUGUCGGCGUCAAAAAGAAUUCCUGGCGAAUGCGCUGCGAAUAUUGUUAACCUAAAAAGCACGAAGUGCUGGCUUUCAAGAAUUCGGCGUCGAAUUUGAGAAAGCACAUACAGAUAAAGCAUGCCACACACUUGGAGAGAUAUACCCAGCUCACUUCAACUGCUCUGAAAAGAAGAACAUCAGAUGAAGUCCCCUCAUCAAAGCAAAUUAAGUUGUGGUAAACCAAGAGGGUCUCACCGCACAGUGUGGAUGAAGCUAACUGAAGUUAACUUUGUCAUUCAGGGUCUACACCCGCUAAGUGUUGUUGAACAGGAGGGUUUUAAAACCCUUGUGCAUCUCCUUCAACCAAGUGUUGUGGUAAUGUCUCGUGGCACUGUAAAAAAUAAAGUUGAAAAGGCAACACAGAAAAUGAAGAACAACCUGAAAGCUGCCAUGAGUGAAAUUGAGUUCAUUGCGACCACCACUGACUGCUGGACAGCACAUCGAUGGAGCUUCAUAGGUGUCACGGCACACUGGAUAGAUCCUGAAACUCUACAGAGAUGUUAUGCUGCCCUAACAUGUAAACAACUAAAAGUUUUCACACAUUCUUUUUCGCAGGUGUCUUGAAUGAAAUUCACACAGAGUUCAACAUCCGUGAGAAGAUUGUUUGCACAACAACUAAUAAUGGCUCCAAUUUUCUAAAAGCAUUUAGUCUAUGAUCAGCUUGAUGGAAACAAUAAUCCAGAAACUGUGGAAGGGGCCAAGCCAAGUCAGAUGGAAGAAAGAGAGAGCGAUGAUGAUGAUGAUGAUGAUGAAGAAGAGGGGGAAAACAGUGAGGGUGUUGAGUUUGUUGAAGCUGGAACCAUGUUGGACCAAGAUGAUGGCCUGGAAUAUCAAUUGCCUAAACACAAUUGCUGUGCCUGCCACCUUCUCAACCUGGUGUCUACAGUUGAUGUCUUGGAAGCCAAUUCCAAUUCAGUUUACAAGCGGCUCUCCCGCUCAGCAUUUUCAAAGUGCUCAAGUCUGUGGAACAAAAGCUCAAGAUCCACCACAGCUGCUGAGAUAAUCGAAGAAAACUGCAAACUCCAGCUCUUGAGGCCAAAUGAUACUAGGUAGAAUUUUCUUUUCCUAUCUGUGGAGAGGAUCAUGAGAACUUUGAGGGAACAAGGAGAAAGAGCCAUUACAGCUGUCUGCAGUGCGUUAAAAAUUCCCAUAUUCACUCCUGCUGAGCUUGCAUUUCUGGAAGAAUAUGCAAAGACAAUGAGCCCAUAUGCAAAAGCACUUGAUUUUCUUCAGGGAGAGACCACUGUGCAAAUGGGAUGGUUGGUACCUACAGUAACACUUCUAAAGAGAAAGCUUCAGCACAUUUGCAUUUCCUCCAGGUUCUGUGGGGCCUUUGGUGGAUGCUCUUCUAGCAGGAAUUGAAAAACGUUUUGGACAGGUACUCGUUGAUCCAGAGCUAAUCGCUGCUGCAAUUCAACUCCCCAAAUUCAAGACAUGCUGGACAAGUGACGAAUGUGUCCUAAAACUUGGUCUUAACUAUAUCAAAAGCCACCUGAAACAACAAAUGGAAGUGUAUAAAGGUGAGGCCUCCCAUUCCUCAGAAGAUGAAGACUUUUUUUCAGCAAUCAAAAAGUCCCGUUCACAAGAUGACACCAGUCAGAUGGAGACCUACCUCAACUGCCCCGCUGACACAAUGGAGGUACUAAAGUCCUUCUCUGCAGUAUGCCACUUGUCAUUAAGGCUUAACACUCCGCUACCAGCCUCAGCUGCCUGUGAGCAACUUUUCAGCACCGCAGGACUGAUUUUUACGCCAAAUAGGGCAUGUGUGUAUUCCAAGAACUUUGAAAAUCAGCUGUUUCUCAGGCUAAACAAAGACUUCUGGUAAUAAGGUUGUGUAUGACAGUUAAUGCCCAGUUUUUGAAGCGAUUCGCACACAGAAAUGAACACACAUAUACCUAUACACACGCACACACACAAACACACACACUCACUCACUCACUGGCUCACACCCACAAUAACUUGAGGCUAAAAAGAAGGCUCUCGUAGUUAUAGUGCAUCCGGAAAGUAUUCACAGCGCUUCACUUUUUCCACAUUUUGUUAUG